rnacentral:misc_RNA from 1 species
AGGUUCCAAGAUGACAGGAACAGGAAACUUUGGAUGUGUUGUGAGCCCAUAUUGUUCUUCCACACUUACGCUUUCUGUAUUCACACCUUGAGGUAAUUUCCAGUUGAAUCCAUGUAACAUGUUGGCUAAAGUUGCUCGGAUAACCUUAAGUCCUAGACUAUAGCCAGGGCACCUCCUCCUCCCUGAGCCAAAUGGCAAGAAGGAAA